AUUGAACGCUGGCGGCAUGCCUUACACAUGCAAGUCGCGCGGAGCGGCGGACGGGUGAGUAAUGCAUAGGAAUCUGCAUAGUAGUGGGGGCUAAAGUCCGGAAACGGGCGCUAAUACCGCAUCCUAUCAGAUCAGCCUAUGUCGGAUUAGCUAGUUGGUGGGGUAAAGGCCUACCAAGGCGACGAUCCGUACCGGGUUUGAGAGGAUGACCAGUCACAAUGGAACUUAGACACGGUCCAGACGCCUACGGGAGGCAGCAGUGGGGAAUAUUGGACAAUGGGCGAAAGCCUGAUCCAGCCAUGCCGCGUGUGUGAAGAAGGUCUUCGGGUUGUAAAGCACUUUAAGUUGGGAGGCGGUACCAACAGAAUAAGCACCGGCUAACUUCGUGCCAGCCGCCGCGGUAAUAC
rnacentral:rRNA from 1 species